UCGUUGUCCAGCCACUCAAGUUCAAGGUUUCCCCGUUCCCCUCUCCCCCCUCUCUGUUUGGUUCUUUCUGGUAGUCGUCGAUGUGGUUUCCCACCCAUGCCUCUCUGUUUGCUCUGCUUUGUUGUGGAUGCAGGGAAGGAGAGGUCUCGGCGAGGGCACCAUGGCGGAUGGUCUGGAGCUCGGCGUCAUCUCUACGGGAGGACUGGCUUGUGGAAGUCAUGCAUGAUGCAUCUGGUUAGACCUUUCAUCCUGUAAGGCCCUCCUUAUUAUUCCAUCACUAAUUCCUGGGCCUACCAAAAUCAUUAAUUGACCGUUCUCUGUUUCCAUCUAAUUCUGGAAACGAUUGCCUAAAGCAAAUCUACUAUAUGAGCUCAAAUCCCAGCUUGGGCCCCAAUUAAUUUUGAUUUUGAGUAUCCAUGUUGUACACUGAUGUUAAUUAAUUUGUUCAGGUCGUUUCGAAACUGUUUACAUCACCUUUAGAUUAUAGCCAUUAUUUAGUAACUACCCCGAUUGUGCCAUUGAAUUGUGUACUGGAAUUUGUGCCGUAUAGGUGGACAUACUGUAAGACAACACACCAACACGCUCGUUCUAACAUAAUAUUGUUUUAUGGCCCACAUAUCAUGUUUCAUUUUCCUCUCCUACAUUACUAUGCUACUGUACGCUAUUUCAAUGACCAGAUUGUUCUAGGUCUUAGCAAAAGCAGAGCCUAACGUUGAAGAAUUGUUUGUGUCCUUCGAUCUUCCAGGCUUUCAAAAUGAUUGGUUUAUGUACUAAUUCAGGAUUUUGCCAUGCAUUUACUAGCAGAUUUCUCAUGUUGGGCGAUGGAAUAAGGAUAUGCACAUUUUAGAAGUUCUGUCGGAGUAAGCAUCAACUGAUUGUGAUGACAAAUAGAGCUGAAAAUACGUACAUGCUGCAUAAACAUGGAGUCAGGCUGAUGUUUGUGUGAAAAUAGAUGACAACCGCAGUUUAGAAUCUUCAUAAACACUUAAUAUAGACCUUCCUGGUGAUGUGUUUCCACUGUUUACAUGAACAGGUUUUAGAAGCAGAGAUCAUUGCCACUUUAACUUAAAAGAACUUAUGCAGACAAUUCAUUUGUUUCUUAUAAAUUAUGCUCUUUAUUUGUAAUGUCUGACUCCCUCUCUAAAUUAAUGUUUCUGUCUAAAUCUAUGUAUAUGUGUGCAGACUUGGGCAGAAUUCGAUGAGAAAGAAUUAUAUUGAAGAGUAAUGCAUGCUUCCGUCCUUUAUGGUAGUCGCUUCAGUUUGACCAGACACCUGGCAUGGUGCUUUCUUCCAUAUAUUGUUCUCUCGAAAAAUUUCCUUGUGUAUAGUAUAUUGGAUUCGAUGAUUAUUAUUUUGCCUUCACAGGAUGCUUCAGAAGAUUUUGUUCUUCUUUUAAGGUCGGGAUGACUUUCCAUGCUGUUAUAUACCAUAUAAGAGCUCUCUGGCAGAGAUUACUAUGUUUCACUCCGAAGAAUACAAGAAAAUGGAAGGUACCCAACCUUAGUGCAAGCGUUGUGAACAUAUAUCUGGUCCUCUUGAUUGGACUAUUGGCAGCCUUUUAUUUUGCACAAACUGUUCAUAUAUAUGCAUCUGUUUUUGUAACUACAAAAUGUUGUAAGUGUACUCCAGCGAUGUAUAUAUAUAUUUAUUUACUUUAAGAACAACCUUUCCAUAAAGGAGGUCAUACGCUCCAUACUGACAACACUCGCAAGUAUUUCAACCAUUUAGUAUUUGCGUGUGAGGGAGUAUCCAUGAUUGGAUUGGCAGAGAUCCCCACUUUCGAACCUUUUCCCAUUCAAACUUCAUAUCUCUAGAGCUCCAAUGAAAUUUGGUGAAGAAGAAAGCUUGGUCUUAUGAUGUACUACAUUUUUUAAUGUAACUCUUUGCUUGAAAAAAAUCAUUCCAUAAAGGAGUACACAUUUUUUGUUGUCCUAUGACUAUGUUCAUGAUUUUUCUUUGCACACAAUAAAGGGGUCUUGGCUACACAGUUGAGACCCACAUGUGUGGGAACAUAUUCUUUCCCUGUAGAAUGGUUUCCGUAAAUGAGUUAGCUAGGCUCAGAAUUUUGAGUU
rnacentral:lncRNA from 1 species